UACGUAGGGUGCGAGCGUUGUCCGGAAUUAUUGGGCGUAAAGAGCUCGUAGGCGGUGUGUCACGUCGGCCGUGAAAACCUGCAGCUUAACUGUGGGCGUGCGGUCGAUACGGGCAUCACUGGAGUUCGGCAGGGGAGACUGGAAUUCCUGGUGUAGCGGUGAAAUGCGCAGAUAUCAGGAGGAACACCGGUGGCGAAGGCGGGACUCUGGGCCGAUACUGACGCUGAUACGCGAAAGCGUGGGGAGCAAACAGG
rnacentral:rRNA from 1 species